rnacentral:rRNA from 1 species
UACGUAGGGUGCGAGCGUUACUCGGAAUUAUUGGGCGUAAAGCGCGCGCAGGCGGUCCUUUAAGUCUGAUGUGAAAGCCCACGGCUCAACCGUGGAGGGUCAUUGGAAACUGGGGGACUUGAGUACAGAAGAGGAAAGUGGAAUUCCACGUGUAGCGGUGAAAUGCGUAGAGAUGUGGAGGAACACCAGUGGCGAAGGCGACUUUCUGGUCUGUAACUGACGCUGAGGCGCGAAAGCGUGGGGAGCAAACAGG